GGCCCCAUAGUGUAGCGGUUAGCAUGUCUGCUUUACAUGCAGAAGGUCCUAGGUUCGUGUCCCAGGUGGAGCCA
rnacentral:tRNA from 1 species